rnacentral:rRNA from 1 species
UAGGGAAUCUUCGGCAAUGGACGAAAGUCUGACCGAGCAACGCCGCGUGAGUGAAGAAGGUUUUCGGAUCGUAAAACUCUGUUGUUAGAGAAGAACAAGGACGUUAGUAACUGAACGUCCCCUGACGGUAUCUAACCAGAAAGCCACGGCUAACUACGUGCAAGCAGCCGCGGUAAUACGUAGGUGGCAAGCGUUGUCCGGAUUUAUUGGGCGUAAAGCGAGCGCAGGCGGUUUCUUAAGUCUGAUGUGAAAGCCCCCGGCUCAACCGGGUAGGGUCAUUGGAAACUGGGAGACUUGAGUGCCGAAGAGGAGAGUGGAAUUCCAUGUGUAGCGGUGAAAUGCGUAGAUAUAUGGGGGAACACCAGUGGCGAAGGCGGCUCUCUGGUCUGUAACUGACGCUGAGGCUCGAAAGCGUGGGGAGCAAACAGG